CCCAGCUCCUACGGGAGGCAGCAGUGAGGAAUAUUGGUCAAUGGGCGCGAGCCUGAACCAGCCAAGUCGCGUGAGGGAAGACGGUCCUAUGGAUUGUAAACCUCUUUUGUCGGGGAGCAAAAGACGCCACGUGUGGCGUUCCGAGAGUACCCGAAGAAAAAGCAUCGGCUAACUCCGUGCCAGCAGCCGCGGUAAUACGGAGGAUGCGAGCGUUAUCCGGAUUUAUUGGGUUUAAAGGGUGCGCAGGCGGAAGAUCAAGUCAGGGGUAAAAUUGAGAGGCUCAACCUCUUCGAGCCGUUGAAACUGGUUUUCUUGAGUGAGCGAGAAGUAUGCGGAAUGCGUGGUGUAGCGGUGAAAUGCGUAGAUAUUAGGAGGAACACCAGUGGCGAAGGCGGCUUACUGGACUGUAACUGACGUUGAGGCUCGAAAGCGUGGGGAGCAAACAGGAUUAGAUACCCGGGUAAA
rnacentral:rRNA from 1 species